UUACGGCCAUAUCUCAUUGAAACACCGAUUCUCAUACGAUCACAGAAAUUAAACAACGUCGAGUCUGGUUAGCCACUAAGAUGAGUGACCCCUUGCGAAUACAAAGAAGUUGUAAG